rnacentral:misc_RNA from 1 species
CAACCCUCAAACCCCCGGGUUUGGUGUUGGAGAUCGGCAUGAGUCCUUCGGGGCGACGCCGUCUCCCAAAUAUAGUGGCGGUCUCGCUGUAGCUUCCUAUGCGUAGUAGCACACCUCGCACUGGAAAGCAGCGCGGCCACGCCGUUAAACCCCCAACUUUUCUGA